AUAAAAGCUUAGUUGAGUUGAGUAGCAGGCAGCUUGUUCCAUUCUUGCACCAAGUAUACUCUAUCAAUCAUAUGUUGUUAAGAGAUUUAUGCCACUUUUACUAUGCAUGCUAUUCUCUUGCUGUAUAUUGGAAAUUGGUUGUCAUGCCUGCUUUCAGGUUCUAGUAUUUUGACCAUUAGAUCAUGGUAGGGAAAUUUAUGAUCCUUAGAGACAUAGUCUUUUUCUAUUGGCUUAGUAGUAGUUUACAUCUCAGGCUUCACUGCAGAAAAAGUAGGGGAUACAUGUUUUUCUGUUCUAGUUUUAUUUACUUAUAAUACAACUUUAGAAUUGUGAAAAAGUUGCAAUCAUAGUUACUUUAUACCUAUUGAUUACUUACAAAAGUGUUUCUUGAUUAAAAAGUUGCCAGCCAAAUGCCAGAAUGUGUCAAGAUCUUCUGUUAGAGCUUCAUCACCUGAGAGUAACCAAUUCAUAUUCUCCUUGGGCAUGAUAGGUUCAAGUGUUCAUUUAAAGGGAAGUGGAAGGGGUUUGUGUCUUUCAGUUACAGACAGUGAUCGUCUUGCUACAGACACAAGUGGUAAGGGUCCUUGUAGCACUGAAAGUUCAAUUUCUAAUAAUCAGCUUUCAUCUGCAGAUUCUCCUGGAGGAACUAGCCAGUUCCAAACUAGUGUUGACAAUGAUCCAGAACCUCAAACCUCUGGAGUUUCUAAUGUUUCCACAGUUUCUUCAGACUUGAAGCUGGCAAGACAACCUAACUUGCAAUCUACACCCAAAAGAUCGCUUCUAACAGUAAAUGAAAGACUGAGGGCUGCCAGGGUUAUCAGCCGUUAUGCAGAAUCAAAGGCUCGAAAUCAAAAACGGGCAGCAAAAUACUGGAUGCUUUGAAGGAAAGUAACAGGGGGAAGACGAGAUCCGGCCUUCCAGAAGCCCCUACAAAUUUGUUGAUGACAGUGACAGAGGGUUGCCAAAGGAGGGAUGGACAUCUCAGUUUCCAGGAGGUGCUGAUCUCUUUGUUUUACCCUUUUCAUUUGUUUUCAUCAGCACAGUUAUGUUUGCAACAACUUAUUUUGUCUGAAAAGUUGGUGCAAUCCAUUUC
rnacentral:misc_RNA from 1 species